GAAUAUAUAUGUAUGUUAUGUGUAUUAUAAUGUAUAAAUCUAUAGAGAUUAAGUUCAUCAUCAUUAAGAUAUACGAUACCUCCAGUAAUUUAUAUCUGAAAAAAUUUUAAUCAGAUCGUGCCGGGUUGAAUAAAAAUACUUUAUAGAACUUCACUGAACCGAUGUGUUUCACAUCGACCAUGAAAAACGAGAAGGAUCGUUAUCAUUGGUCCAAUAAAUCGUAAUGAGUAUUCCGUGUUCACGUCGAUAUAAUUGGAUGCAAUUAAAUGUAAUCGUCCACUGAAUUGGCAUGAAAUUUAUUUUACAGUUCGAUAAGAUCAAUAAUACGUAUGGACACGCAACGUUCGACCGUACACUUUAAUUUGGUUCCAUUCCGGAAGUGACACCAAUUUUUUCGAAUUUAAAAUCUGCGCACGCCGUUUCGCCAAUGACGUGUGCCAUCUAGUUGUUGAUUUGUCGAGCGUAGUGUGUUGCAUCAACGGUUUAAUUGCACCGGUGGAUCGUAACGAUGCUGAAGAAAAUUCGUGUAUAUCCCAGAUAACGGUAUGACAUUGGUACAAAACGACGACAACGAGAAGAUAUCGAGGUAAUUUCGUGGGGAACAAUUCGCACGGCAACAUCAUCGUACCAAGUCCAAUUAACGAGAACAUUUUUCAAGGCCUAUCCAGCCACAGUAUCGCAUUUCGGAUACGUCGCGAAAACGCUAUAAACUACGGAACGAAACGAUCGCCCCUGUUUCUCGCUUCUUUGUCACCGCCAACCCCAGCUGCUCUACCAUCGCCACCACCGACCAACCUUCUUGCCGACAUUUGGAUUCACCAUUAAACAUGGUCUCGGCUUAUCUUAAUGGAUAUCUAGUUGGUUUCUUGGAUCUUGGGAUGUGAGUCGACGAGGAACCUUGCAUUGAUUUUUUUGUUUUGGAUACUCAACGACCGACGACGGAUAUUUGGAUGGGACCAUCGAAUGAGUGUCUCCAGUCAACUGUUAUCUACCUAGCGAUAUCGCAAGACGUUCAAAAAAGUCUAAGACGAGAAUUCAUAGAUGCACGCGUCGCGUGCGGCGGAGGAUCCGUAGACGACGUUGCGCGUCAUUUUCUAAAAGGCCAGCUAUCGGUCAGCAACGUCGCGUCGUCGGGGUUGCGGUUAAUCCAGUCCGUUGGUCGCGGUCGUGGUCGUGGUCGGCAUCGUGCACGCGGCCGGUCGUAGAUAGUGGGUGGCAAGGUUGUCGAGAAGCAUGCAGAGAAGAGAGCCCAGGAUGAGAGAGAGAGAGAGAGAGAGAGAGAGAGAGGAGUGGAGGAGAGAAGAGGAAGAGAGAAGCGAAGGAGGACCAGGAAGCAUAUCGGAGGAUGAGGAGCAGGAGGUGGGAGGAGGAGGCAAGAGGAGGAGAAAGAGCAGAGAAGCGGGCAAGCGCAAGCGCCUGUCCGAUCAAUGCCCGUCUCCCGCUUCUAUAAAGCGCUCGUCCUCGGGGGGCGCGCGACAGUUGGCGUUCCGCAUUCGGAACAUGCGCCGCGUCGCGGUUAUACCGAAUUCACUGUUUCUCUUACAAUUAGAAAACCUUCUUGUACGUAUCAUUCUCGCCAGCUCGUUCGGGAGAAAUCGUCGGGUGAACCUCGGCCCGAAAACACAUCGUUAAUGGUGACCGACCUUGUCGCGUCGCACCAGUCCUGUUUAUCGCGGCGAGGAAAGCGGUCGCGUGUGUUGCUCUUCGAUUACAAUAACAUUGCACGAAAAUCGUUGGAACGGCACGGACUGGAAAUUGCG